UAUAAUGUGCCAGGUACUGUUUUAAAAUGU
rnacentral:piRNA from 1 species